GCUGGGCACAGUGGCACAUGCCUGUAAUCCCACAGCUCAGGAGGCUGAGGCAGGAGGAUUGGAGUUCAAAGCCAGCCUCAGCAAAAGCAAGGCACUGAGCAACUCAGUGAGACCCUGUCUCUA
rnacentral:sRNA from 1 species